AAUCGAACCCGGAGAUAGCUGGUUCUCCUCGAAAUAGCUUUAGGGCUAGCCUCAUGGAUCAUUGAUGGGGGUAGAGCACUGAAUGUGCGCGGGGGCCACAAAGCCUACCAAACGCUAUCAAACUUCGAAUACCAUACAAUGCAGACCAUGGGAGUCAGUCCGCGAGAGAUAAGUUCCGCGGGCAAAAGGGGAACACCCCAGAUCAACCGCUAAGGUCCCCAAGUUCACGUUAAGUGGAGAAGGAUGUGGAAUUGCACAGACAACCAGGAUGUUGGCUCAGAAGCAGCCACACAUUUAAAGAGUGCGUAAUAGCUCACUGGUCGAGUGAUUGUGCGCCGAAGAUGUCCGGGGCUAAACGUGACACCGAAGCGAUGGGUGCGUCUGAAAAAGAUGCGCGGUAGAGGAGCAAUGUGCAGAGGCAGAAGCCGUAUCGAGAGGCACGGUGGACACUGCACAAGAGAGAAUGCCGGUAUGAGUAGCGAGAGGCAUGCGAGAAACAUGCCCGUCGAAAGCCCAAGGUUUCCUGGGGAAGGUUCAUCCGCCCAGGGUAAGUCGGGGCCUAAGCCGAGGACGGAAGUCGUAGGCGAUGGACAGCAGGUGUAGAUUCCUGCACUACCGAUGGAAUGAAGCAGUGACACAGAAGGAUAACUCGAGCAGGGUGAUGGUCAACCCUGUGCAAGCAUCAAGGUUGGGUUGUAGUGAAGUACGCAACCCUACAAGCUGAGAUGUGAUGCGGACCGAAAUUUCAGUAGGGAAGCGAGUGAGUUCACGCUGGCGAGAAAAGCUGCUAGUACAUCCAAAGGUACCCGUACCGGAAACCGACGCAGGUGGGCGAGGAGAGAAUCCUGAGACGAACGGGAGAACCCUUGUUAAGGAACUCGGCAAAAUGACCCCGUAACUUCGGGAUAAGGGGUGCCUGCGAGAGCAGGCCGCAGAGAAUAGUCACAAGCGACUGUUUAGCAAAAACACAGGUAUCUGCGAAAGCGAGAGCUGACGUAUAGGUGCUGACACCUGCCCGGUGCUGGAAGGUUAAGGGAACAUGUUAGAGCAAUCGAAGCAUCGAACCGAAGCCCCAGUAAACGGCGGCCGUAACUAUAACGGUCCUAAGGUAGCGAAAUUCCUUGUCGGGUAAGUUCCGACCCGCACGAAUGGUGUAACGACUUGUGAGCUGUCUCAACAGGGGGCCCGGUGAAAUUGAAGUAUGGGUGAAGAUGCCCAUUACCCGCGACUGGACGGAGAGACCCCGUAGAGCUUUACUGCAGCCUGAUAUUGAGUUUCGGUAACUGAUGCACAGGAUAGGUGGGAGUCUGAGAGACAUGGGUUUCGGCUCAUGUGGAGACGGUGUUGGGAUACCACUCUUCGGUUACUGAAAUUCUAACAUAGCUCUGUGAAACCAGAGGAUGGACAGUGUCAGGUGGACAGUUUGACUGGGGCGGUCGCCUCCGAAAGAGUAACGGAGGCGCCCAAAGGUACCCUCAGAAUGGAUGGAAACCAUUCGAAGAGCGCAAAGGCAGAAGGGUGCCUGACUGCGAGAUUGACAAAUCGAGCAGAGACGAAAGUCGGGCUUAGUGAUCCGGCGGUAUUGAGUGGAAAAGCCGUCGCUUAACGGAUAAAAGCUACCUCGGGGAUAACAGGCUGAUCUCCCCCAAGAGUCCACAUCGACGGGGAGGUUUGGCACCUCGAUGUCGGCUCAUCGCAUCCUGGGGCUGAAUUCGGUCCCAAGGGUUUGGCUGUUCGCCAAUUAAAGCGGCACGCGAGCUGGGUUCAGAACGUCGUGAGACAGUUCGGUCCCUAUCCAUCGUGGGCGUAGGAGUCAUGAGAGGAGCUGUUCCUAGUACGAGAGGACCGGAAUGGACGCACCACUGGUGCAACUGUUGUCGUGCCAACGGCAUAGCAGGGAAGCGAAGUGCGGAUGGGAUAAACGCUGAAGGCAUCUAAGCGUGAAGCCCACCUCAAGAAUAAGACUCCACAAUAGACCCCUGGAGGACUACCAGGUAGAUAGGUCAUCGGUGGAAGCGCUGUAAGGCGUGU
rnacentral:rRNA from 1 species